ensembl:lncRNA
UCCAGGUCAAGCCUCCAGUCCCUGAGCUCCAGGUCAAGCCUCCAGUCCCUGAGCUCCAGGUCAAGCCUCCAGUCCCUGAGCUCCAGGUCAAGCCUCCAGUCCCUGAGCUCCAGGUCAAGCCUCCAGUCCCUGAGCUCCAGGUCAAGCCUCCAGUCCCUGAGCUCCAGGUCAAGCCUCCAGUCCCUGAGCUCCAGGUCAAGCCUUCAGUCCCUGAGCUCCAGGUCAAGCCUCCCGUCCCUGAGCUCCAGGUCAAGCCUCCAGUCCCUGAGCUCCCGUUCAAGGCUGCUGACACGCCCAGCCAAGCUCUGCUCACGCCACAGGCUGCUGACACGCACAGCCAAGCUCUGCUCACGCCACAGGCUGCUGACACGCACAGCCAAGCUC